UUGGAUAAAGGUUUGCCUUUUUUUUUCCUCAAUCGGUUUUUCAUACUCUGUUGUCUUAUCUUACGAGGUAAUGGGUCUGGAUUUGAAGCAGGUGCAUCAACGAUUGUAAGAUUUUUCUUGGUUGGGUCUUGUCAUCAGAUGCGUAAAAGGAGAGAUGGGGUUUAGUAGCUGUUUCAGUGCAUUUGGUUCUUGCAAGGGACAAAUAAAGCACAUGUGCCAUGAGCUAUGGUACAUUUGCUACUGGGGGUUGUGAUGGUUAUGUUAGUGUGUGGGAUGGAAACAACAAAAAAAGGCUGUAUCAGUCUCAUUCAACUUACAGUACUCAAAAUACCCAGCAAGCCAUGUUGAAGACGUUGAGGGAAAAUAAGGACCGAUUUGACUUAGUAAUUAGGGAUGUUCAUAUGCCUGACAUGGAUGGCUAUAAGCUUUUGGAGCUUGUUGGACUUGAAAUGGACCUUCCUGUCAUGAUGUUAUCAGCAAACAGUGAUCCCAAGCUUGUAAUAAAAGGGGUCAUGCAUGGUGCAUGUGACUUUGGUGAAACUUGUUCGAAUUAAGGAGCUGAGGAAUAUUUGGCAACAUGUUAUCAGGAAAAAGAAGUUUGAUACCAAGAAACAAGGCAAGUCUACUUAUGAAGACAAGGCUGUUCAGGGAAAUAGAGAUGUCUGUCACGGGCAUCAGAAUACAGGUAACAGAGAUCAGAAUGGGAAGCUUAAUAAAAAGAGGAAGGAUGAAGAAGAUGAGAGUGAAGAUGACGGACAUGAUCAUGAAGAUCCAGCAACACAGAUCUAGCCUAACUUUGUUAUUUUGUUACUGGUUGAUAAUAUGAUUAUUAGGAAGAGGAUUCAUGUUCGCGUAGAGCAUGUUCAGCCUUCUCGAUGCAAUGAGGAAAUCAAGCAUAGAACAGAAAAAAUGAUGAAUUGAAGGCUGCAGCAAAGGCAAGAGGUGAGGUCAACAACACUAAGAGGCAACCUGAAGGCCCCAAACCAGGUUUCAUGGUAGAAGGUGCAACUUUGGAGACUGUAACUCCAAUUCCAUAUAAUGUGGUCGAUCUCAAAGGGGGUUACUAAGUUUGUACUGUGCUGGAGUUCUCUCUGUUUGUUUAUCGCUUAAACAAUUGAAGACUAGAAAAUCUGUUUUUCCCCUCAUAGCCUUCAAAUUAGUGCGGAUUUGGUAUUUUUGUAAUAUUAGUAGAGGCAUUGGCCAUUGAGUUUUGUGUUUAAUGAAAGUAAUGUUGGCAAAA